CACUACAAGCUAAAUUUUGUGACACACAUCCAAGUGACGUGAAUCCAAAGUUCCCUUCUAAAAUAUUUUUUUCACCAUACCUAACGCGCAAACCUGGUAACAAAGCGAAUUUAUUACAGGUGAUGGCAACCAAGGCGUAUUCGCUUUAAUGGCAACCACAUAUAAGUAAAAACAUGUAUGUAUUUGUUUUUGCCUUUUGUGUGAGCAUCACGCAAAAUCAGCUGUUUGUUUUCAGAGCGGUUUGCUUUUGAAACGUAAAUAAGUUGUUUCAAGCUUCGCGCUUAAAUUGCUUCGUACUUUCGAUUGAUUUAGUAAUUUGAGGGCCUGAGCAAAUUGCUUUCAAGAUGCCAGUAUUUGCGAAGCGGGGAUGUAUAUGCAGCACCGGCUAGGAGGAUUCCAUACAAUUUCAAUGGACGUUAGAAACGCUCGCCGAAAAUAGGCAACGAUUGUUUUCCAUAUUUAUUACGAUUAGCAGAAGAAAAAGAGAGAAACGUUUAGCUAAUUUACCACCUGAAGAAAAGUUAGCUGAAAAACUACACUGGAAAUUGUCACAAUUAAAAAGUCGUCACAUUUUCAACAGUUCGUUGGAGAUUUAGUACUUAGCAUUUGUAUGAAUUUAUCUGACACAGACAUUAAUAAGGUGAAAAUGAAUGUAGAGAAUGACAGUCCUUGGCCGGAGUGACAGUCCUUGGCCGGAUAUAAAUCCGGGUCGUUUCGGUAACGUAGAACCGACUGUCGUGGAAACGCGUGGUAAGUCGUUUAAAGCACUGGUUCAACUCGCUGAUCAUCGAAAAGGCGUACCAACACUUAUUAAUGCGCGUCCGCAAGAAUUGGCAAUAAUUUUAUCUGGCGGUGGUUUAUAUACUUAAAUCUGGUUACUGGCUUAGAAUUAUCGCUUCCCACAUCUAUAAGCGUCAUUAACGAGGAAGGCGCCAAUGAAGCAUAGGCGUGGUCACAAGAAAAUGACAUGGCUGAUUUGCAUGGCAAUAAAGCUGCGGAUUGGGCCUGGUCACUGUUACAAAAACUCAUUUAUGACUAUGAGCUACAAAAUUCUACUAGCAUAUGAAAAUAUGUGUCAAAAAAGCUGCUAAGUCUCAACGCCUUUAUCCCGCAAUGGAUAUAUAAAUGACUACAUGUUGGCGAAUUGUCCAGACCUGUUGUAUUUGUUCGUCAAAGAGAAUCCCUUAAUUGAAGCUGCCGAAUUACCACACGCACUUUUGGGAGCUAGAAGCGAAUAUUUCAGUUUUAAACAUACAAUUGCCCGAAAAAAGGGAAUCUUUCAAAAUUUUUUCUGAGAAAACUUUUAAAUUUAUUGAUCUAAAAAUUUGUACACAUAUGUUACCUUUUAAUUGUAUUUUAAAACUUAGUAUUCGUAAAAAUAUUUAUUUCGAAAGGAGUUAUAGCUGAUCUCCGAGAGCUUUUCUCAAAAAAUACGUUUUGCGGUGAUCACUAUAUCUCUGAACUAAUCUAAAGAAUAAGCAAAAUAUAUGUUUUUCACAAAAUGGUUGAUUUUUGACAAAAAAUUUCGGCCUUAAAUUGUUAAAAAAAAUAUUUAUCGGUGAGAAAAAAUCUUAAAACUUUAAUUGCACUGAUUGAAAUUGAAUUUUAAUUCGGAUAUCGACUAUAAGGAGGUGUGCAUAGAAACGAUUCGAAUAAUAGGCAUAAAUAAUCAUUUAUGUUUUUAUAUCAUUGAUGCCCACAGAGUUGGAGGACGUCAAACAGACCUGUAACGAUACCGCACAGUGCACAGCAGAGGAUAAAAUCCAAAUGGAUUAAAUAAAUUUGAAUUAGAUGAAAUAAUUUAUUUUUCAAUCAAUUUUGCAAAGAUUAAGAACUUAUGUUCUGAAUAUAAAUUAUAAAAAUCACGUUUUUCUUAUAUUUAAAAUUAAAAUAAAACACUCUCCAUCAUCAUCGAUCCGGAAAUAAUUUUUUUAUAAACGUCCAUGAAUUGAGCAACGAAGGCUUCUAAAUGGAAUAUAGUAUAGUUAAGCGCACUUUUGCAACCGAUGCUCAUACAACUAACACUUAUAAACGACCAAUAGCUAUCGCCAAAGUAGCAUUUCCAUGAUGUUUUUGAUGAAUUUUAAACUGUUGCAACAGAGAUCUCAAAGAGUGUGAGAAAAUAUUUUUUAAUACAUCUUUAAUAAAGUAUAGUUAUAUAAAAUGAAUUCACAAGCAAUUUUAG